UACAAGACCACUAGGCGGCGGUAAUCAGUGGUCAAGCAGUUUGUGACAACAUCCGCUUUUUCCUCCCGCACGUUAUGUCCGCACUAUCUUCGGCUAACACUGCUCGGAGUACAUUUAAAAUCACUUCACGACUGAAUGGCUUCAUGUUUUUUGACGUGUUUGACUGACGACUUUUUUAUCUCAUCCGGCAGAUUAGCGACGCUGCGUUGAUCCGCCGCCCGCUGGAGUUAGUCCAUUGUUAGCCUAGCCUAGCCUAGCUUUAGUCAUGCGCUCAUGUGGUGUUGUUGUUAGCCUGCUGGACUCCUUCACUAACCACGGCUACUAGUUAGACUCAUUUCACUAACCGCGGCUACUAGUUAAAAUCAUUUCACUAACAUGCUACUAGUUAAACCAUUUCCACUAACCGACACAACUAGUUAACCACCUGCACUAACCACGCCUACUAGUUAGCCCCAUUCACUAACCGCGGCUACUAAGUUAGCCUCGUUCACUAAUCGCGGCUACUAGUUGGGCUCGUUGACUAACCACGACUACUAGUUGGCCUCCUUGACUAACCAGGGCUACUAGCGAGCGUCGUGCCUCGAGCCUCCCGCUCUUCUGGAGUUAUCUGGCGGGAGUUUGCUGACUUCUCUCUUCGUUUGGCUUUCAAGCUUUGAUGCUAGCUCGCUAGCUAGCGGGUGACGUGUAUUUCCUUUGUGGCGCGCGCCCAUCGCAGCCCGUCGGGAGGCCCCGGGGGCGUCAUCGGUUCCCGCAGCCAUGGCUUCGUCCUCCGGUAACGACGACGACCUGACCAUCCCGCGCGCCGCCAUCAACAAGAUGAUCAAGGAGACGCUGCCCAACGUGCGCGUGGCCAACGACGCGCGCGAGCUGGUGGUCAACUGCUGCACGGAGUUCAUCCACCUCAUCUCCUCCGAGGCCAACGACAUCUGCAACAAGUCGGACAAGAAGACCAUCUCGCCGGAGCACGUCAUUAACGCUCUGGAGAGUCUGGGCUUUGCCUCCUACAUCACGGAGGUGAAGGACGUCCUGCAGGAGUGUAAGACCGUGGCCCUCAAGAGGAGGAAGGCCAGCUCCCGUCUGGAGAACCUGGGGAUCCCCGAGGAGGAGCUGCUGAGGCAGCAGCAGGAGCUCUUUGCCAAGGCCCGGCAGCAGCAGGCAGAACUGGCCCAGCAGGAGUGGCUGCAGAUGCAGCAGGCGGCCCAGCAGGCCCAGAUGGCGGCGGCGUCUGCCAGCGCCGCCCAACAGGCGGGUUCCUCUCAGGAUGAAGAAGACGAGGACGACAUGUGAUCCCGAGCAGACCGCGCCCCCCGCUCCCGUGUUGGGACGGCGGUGUCAGAACCGACACCAGGCAGAGUCCGCGUCACGCCGACGUGGACGGACGGUGCUGGCAAACACGGGGGCGGGGCUGGGGGAGGGGCUCCGUGAUGGCCGCACGCUCAGACAUAGAACUUCAUUUGGAUCAAGAGACUUUGAAGAUAAAUUCUAUGUGACUUUUCUUAAGUUGUUUGGACCCAAUGAGACUGGUUCUUGUCUUCUUUUCUUUGUUUUCUUUUGUGUAGGCUUUUUGUUUGUGGCAGUAUUACUGAUCCACUUCACCUUCCGGAACUGGACUCGUACAACCAAAGAUGGAAGACAGACUGGCAGCUGGCCGUAUGGGCUCCAAGUCAAGUGGGUCAGAGUGGACGAAGGUGUAAGAUAGAUGCGUCAAAACAUGGGGGUGCUCUUCAGUGAUGGACCUGGUCCCUGUCUGCCAGCAUCACAUGAGGGCCACCAUCAGACCUGGACCCUGUCCGCCAGCAGCACAUGAGGGCCACCAUCAGACCUGGUCCCUGUCCGCCAGCAGCACAUGAGGGCCACCAUCAGACCUGGACCCUGUCCGCCAGCAGCACAUGAGGGCCACCAUCAGACCUGGUCCCUGUCCGCCAGCAGCACAUGAGGGCCACCAUCAGACCUGGACCCUGUCCGCCAGCAGCACAUGAGGGCCACCAUCAGACCUGGUCCCUGUCCGCCAGCAGCACAUGAGGGCCACCAUCAGACCUGGACCCUGUCCGCCAGCAGCACAUGAGGGCCACCAUCAGACCUGGACCAUGUUCUAAUCUGUGGCGUCCAUUGAGUGAACCAUUUGGAGCAGGAGAAGCUUCUGGAACCAGAACUUGUUGACUCGCGACAGGAAGUCCAGUGAGCUCCAACGGCGACUAAAACAACCUUCCUCCUCGUCAUCGUCACAAAGGUCUCGGACCGCCCACCUGGAGCCAGACUGCCGAGUCAACUCCUUCCCGACCCGGUCCAGCUUGCUGCUUCCCUUCCAAAGACCCCGACCGAGGUCAACACUGCACACUUUUACAAGCGGGGCGGACUUCACCGGUCCGGUAGGUGGACCAUCGGAACCCACUGGUCCCAGCGCCGGCUGUCCCCGCAGAACCUUUGGAGCUUCCCAAGCGCCGAGCUCUUCCAGGACCAGGUCUGCGGGUUCUGGUGGGCCAUCAAGGACACAUGAGUUCAUAACACACACACACACUCUCACACACUCACCGUGACCAGAACACAGUGCGGGUCCAGCGGUUCCCCCGCGGCCUUGGCUCCUCCCACCAGCUCGGCCAGACGGCGGGUGUUGGCGACGUGCACGAUGUCGAUGUGGUUGUCGCAGCAGAAGGCGCGGAUGAGCGUGAAGUGGAUCUGCAGGGCCACGUCCUGCUGGUCGCCGUCGUCAGAAGCCAGCACGCACAGAACCACGUUGUCGGAAUCUCUGCGGGCCA